UACGAAGGUCCCGAGCGUUGUUCGGAAUCACUGGGCGUAAAGGGAGCGUAGGCUGCACGGUAAGUCAGAUGUGAAAGCCCGGGGCUCAACCCCGGAACUGCAUCCGAUACUGCCGUGCUUGAGGACUGGAGAGGAGUCUGGAAUUCACAGUGGAGCAGUGAAAUGCGUAGAUAUUGUGAGGAACACUAGUAGCGAAGGCGAGACUCUGGACAGAUCCUGACGCUGAGGCUCGAAGGCCAGGGGAGCAAACGGG
rnacentral:rRNA from 2 species